rnacentral:rRNA from 1 species
UGAGGAAUCUUGCGCAAUGGGGGAAACCCUGAUGCAGCGACGCCGCGUGAACGAUGAAGCCCUUCGGGGUGUAAAGUUCUUUCGACGGGGACGAUAAUGACGGUACCCGGAGAAGAAGCUGCGGCUAACUACGUGCCAGCAGCCGCGGUAAUACGUAGGCAGCAAGCGUUGUUCGGAAUUACUGGGCGUAAAGAGUGCGUAGGUGGUUGGCCAAGUUUGGUGUGAAAUCUCCCGGCUUAACUGGGAGGGUGCGCCGAAAACUGGUUGAGUAGAGUGUGGGAGAGGGACGUGGAAUUCCUGGUGUAGCGGUGAAAUGAGUAGAUAUCAGGAGGAACACCUGCGGUGUAGACGGCGUCCUGGACCAUGACUGACACUGAGGCACGAAAGCGUGGGGAGCAAACA